GAUCAUAGUAAGCUUAUAAGAAAUCAAUAAGCAACUCAUUAACAAAUUUUUGUCAAUGUUUACCACAUAAUCAUAAUUUUACUGCAAGCUGUCUUCCUGAGCAACAGUCACUAAAUUAUUUAUAACUGGAGUUACGAAAAUCCAAAUCAAGUUCCGUUAAUUUUCCCUGAAAAUAGACUCAUAUAUCUUCUAUCCAUAAAAUUUUCAGAAUUUUUGGUAUGACCAAU
rnacentral:lncRNA from 1 species